GAUGAACGCUGGCGGCGUGCCUAAUACAUGCAAGUCGAGCGAACAGACGAGGAGCUUGCUCCUCUGACGUUAGCGGCGGACGGGUGAGUAACACGUGGAUAACCUACCUAUAAGACUGGGAUAACUUCGUGAAACCGGAUCUAAUACCGGAUAAUAUAUUGAACCGCAUGGUUCAAUAGUGAAAGACGGUUUUGCUGUCACUUAUAGAUGGAUCCGCGCCGCAUUAGCUAGUUGGUAAGGUAACGGCUUACCAAGGCAACGAUGCGUAGCCGACCUGAGAGGGUGAUCGGCCACACUGGAACUGAGACACGGUCCAGACUCCUACGGGAGGCAGCAGUAGGGAAUCUUCCGCAAUGGGCGAAAGCCUGACGGAGCAACGCCGCGUGAGUGAUGAAGGUCUUCGGAUCGUAAAACUCUGUUAUUAGGGAAGAACAAAUGUGUAAGUAACUAUGCACGUCUUGACGGUACCUAAUCAGAAAGCAACGGCUAACUACGUG
rnacentral:rRNA from 1 species